GGAUUGUCUCUGGCUUGUAAGGGAUACCGUAACACAUCAUGGCUGAACCAAUAGUACCAACCAGAAAUACAAUACCAGACUAAAAAGAGAGAGAAGAAAGAAAGAGGUCUUGUGAUCAUGAAUCUUAAGAAUGACUCCGAACGUGAGGCAGUAUAAGCAGCAGCUGCAGUUACUCCGAGACCGCCAGCAAAAUAAGUAUAGGUUUUAUUAAUGCGUGACCUUAUCUCUGCAGGCCAAAACCUUUGAAAGAAAAGAUAGAGAGAGAAGUUUAACAUUAUUAUUACAUUAUGUACAUUUAAACAACCAUGAUAAGAGUGAGAAAGUGAAAAUGCCACAAAUAUAUAUAUUAAAAGUAUUUGGGACAUCGGUAA